rnacentral:rRNA from 1 species
UACAGAGGUCUCGAGCGUUAGGCGGAAUCACUGGGCUUAAAGCGUGUGUAGGCGGAUCGGUAAGUACCUUGUGAAAUCCCACAGCUUAACUGUGGAACUGCUUGGUAUACUGCCAGUCUUGAGCCACUUAGGGGCUACCGGAACAAAUGGUGGAGCGGUGAAAUGCGUAGAUAUCGGGAGGAACACCCGUGGUGUAGACGGCUUGCUGGACGGUCACUGACGCUGAGGCACGAAAGCGUGGGGAGCAAACAGG